AGUCAUUACCCCUAGAAUCUUCUAAUAUUGGGUAGGAACUAUUCCAUGAAUGUGGAGACAUCUGGCUCAGAACCUAAAAAUCUAAACAGAAAGUUUCAUCUUCUUUCCUAGCCCAUUAAAUAUAUAUGCUUUAUGUCCAUUUUCAGUGUUGAUGGCUAGUUAGCUAGAUCACCUAAUACCCUCCAUUUGUGAGCCAGUGUACCCUUAAAGGAACUGUAUUGUUCUUUGUCCUCAGACAUACCCAUUAUAUAAGGUUUCAUCUUCAGCUGAGACCAGUUAGUUCCAUUGGGGAAAGUAUGGGACUGAAGAGGCCAAGGUCAUUCUUUUGAUCCUGAUUCAAGCCAGUUAAUUUUGCACAGAUAUAAAUUUCUCCAAGGCUACAUGUUGCACAUCUAAUGUUAGCUGGUCAUUUUAUAAGUAGUUGUUAUUGGUUUCAUUAGCAAAGUAUGAAUGGUUCUGCACCAUUCAUUUCUAGAAAGAUUACUCAAACUACCAUUGUUCUGUUUAGUCUUAUUCAUUCAGCAAUUAUAUGAACCUGUUACCAUUUUUCUCCCAUUUCUCCCUUGCAUUUACUUGUUUUUCAGGUAUUUACUAAAUACUAAUUGUUUUGCAUAUAUUAUCUCAUUUAAGCCUUACAAUGACACUGAGAGCCAAGUACUAUUAUUUUCCCCACUAUAUGGUGAUGAAGUGACUGAGGAAUAAAGAUGAAACCUGAAUAUAGGCCAGGGCAGCCUGAUGUCAGAUUUCUGGACCACACUGACGG
rnacentral:lncRNA from 1 species